CUGCAUGGUGGCGUGUGGAAAGGGUUUUACUGGUUUUGGAUGGGCUCACGGCCUAUCAGCUUGUUGGUGGGGUAAUGGCUCACCAAGGCGACGACGGGUAGCCGNCNUGAGAGGGUGACCGGCCACACUGGGACUGAGACACGGCCCAGACUCCUACGGGAGGCAGCAGUGGGGAAUAUUGCACAAUGGGCGAAAGCCUGAUGCAGCGACGCCGCGUGAGGGAUGACGGCCUUCGGGUUGUAAACCUCUUUCAGCACGGAAGAAGCGAGAGUGACGGUACGUGCAGAAGAAGCGCCGGCUAACUACGUGCCAGCAGCCGCGGUAAUACGUAGGGCGCAAGCGUUGUCCGGAAUUAUUGGGCGUAAAGAGCUCGUAGGCGGUUUGUCGCGUCUGCUGUGAAAGCCCGGGGCUUAACCCCGGGUGUGCAGUGGGUACGGGCAGACUUGAGUGCAGUAGGGGAGACUGGAAUUCCUGGUGUAGCGGUGAAAUGCGCAGAUAUCAGGAAGAACACCGAUGGCGAAGGCAGGUCUCUGGGCUGUUACUGACGCUGAGGAGCGAAAGCAUGGGGAGCGAACAGGAUUAGAUACCCUGGUAGUCCAUGCCGUAAACGUUGGGCACUAGGUGUGGGGGACAUUCCACGUUUUCCGC
rnacentral:rRNA from 1 species